rnacentral:rRNA from 1 species
CGGGGCUUAAAGUCUUGUAAUUGGAAUGAUGGGAAUUUAAACCUCUUCCAGAGUAUCAAUUGGAGGGCAAGUCUGGUGCCAGCAGCCGCGGUAAUUCCAGCUCCAAUAGCGUAUAUUAAAAUUGUUGCAGUUAAAAAGCUCGUAGUUGAAUUUCUGCUGCAUUGCUUGUGUCCCUCUGGGGUCUGUGCAUAUGGCUUUUUUCGGACGGAGUUUCUUUGUCUGAAUGUUUACUUUGAGAAAAUUAGAGUGCUCAAAGCAGGCUUUCGCCUUGAAUAGUUUAGCAUGGAAUAAUAAAGUAGGACUUUGGUUCUAUUUUGUUGGUUUUAGGUACCAAAGUAAUGGUUAAUAGGAACAGUUGGGGGCAUUCGUAUUUAACUGUCAGAGGUGAAAUUCUUAGAUUUGUUAAAGACGAACUACUGCGAAAGCAUUUGCCAAGGAUGUUUUCAUUAAUCAAGAAC